rnacentral:tRNA from 1 species
AAAAAAUGAGAAAAAAUAAGCUUCCCAUGCCGGGAAUCGAACCCGGGCCGCGUGGGUGAAAACCACGAAUCCUAACCACUAGACCACAUGGGAUCUGUCA